AGUAAGGCAGACGAUCGCUGCUGCUAUUGCCGAAAGGACGCAGGAGAGGAAAGUCCGGGCUUCACAGGGCAGGAUGCCGGCUAACGGCCGGUGGAGGCGACUCCCAGGAAAGUGCAACAGAAAUUAAACCGCCAAUAUGGUAAGGGUGAAAUGGCAGUGUAAGAGACUACCGCCUUGAUGGUAACAUUAAGGGUCAGUGUAAACCCCAUCCGAAGCAAGACCGAGCAGAAAGCGUAGGUGGCCCACCAGCUUUCGGGUAGGUUGCUUGAACCAGGUGGCAACAUCUGGUCUAGAUAGAUGAUCGUCCACGACAUAACCCGGCUUACAGCCUUACUCAU
rnacentral:RNase_P_RNA from 1 species